AGAGUUUGAUCAUGGCUCAGAAUCAACGCUGGCGGCGUGCCUCAGACAUGCAAGUCGAACGCGAAAGUUCCCUUCGGGGAGCGAGUAGAGUGGCGCACGGGUGAGUAACACGUAGGUAAUCUACCUUUGGAUUGGGAAUAACAACCGGAAACGGUUGCUAAUACCGAAUAAUGCAGCGGCACCUAAUGGUGACAGUUGUUAAAGCGGGGGAUCGCAAGACCUCGCGUCUAAAGAGGAGCCUGCGGCGGAUUAGCUAGUUGGUAAGGUAAUGGCUUACCAAGGCGAUGAUCCGUAGCCGGCCUGAGAGGGCGGUCGGCCACACUGACACUGACAUACGGGUCAGACUCCUACGGGAGGCAGCAGUCGGGAAUUUUGGGCAAUGGGCGAAAGCCUGACCCAGCAACGCCGCGUGAAGGAUGAAAUCCCUCGGGAUGUAAACUUCGCAAGAACGGGAAGAAUAAGUGAGGGUUAAUAUCCCUUACGAUGACGGUACUGUUUGUAAGCUCCGGCUAACUCCGUGCCAGCAGCCGCGGUAAUAC
rnacentral:rRNA from 1 species